CAAUCAUCCUGGAUGUCCAAAUUCCCGUAGCUCAGCCAGAACCAAACUCAGGAGGUAACUCUAACCCUCUACCCGCUAAAAGUACUAAUAUCAUUAAUCCGGUACAUCUCAUUCCUCAAAACCUUAAAUGCGACAUAUUAGAAGGCAAUGAUAUGAAUCUGGCUUCUCUCCUCAUAGCAUCACAAGAUCUAAUUGAAAACAGGUCAUACAUAUUUGACGAUUUAUUCAUGGUAAUGCAGUCUAGAGACCAUAGACUUAACAGGAAGUUAAAUAUUCCAGAGUUUGUCUUAGCUUUUGGCUUAUAUAGGGAUAUUUGCUCUGCUUUUCCCCACCGUACAGAGGAAUUAGAUUUAUACUUACA